GUGGUUACACUUUUUCCUGUAAUAUUAAACAUUUUUAAUACAAAAGACUCUCUAAUACUGGAGUAACCGCUACAGUGUAGCAACAUGUGCUGUUCAUUUUCAAUUUCGCCACUUUUACAGAUUUCACAAAUUCUUUGAUCUCUGGGCAUUUUUAAAUAUCUUCCUCUUUCAAUGGCAAGGUUAUGAGCACUAACUCUUAAUUUACAUAAUGAUGAUCGAUCUGAUCUAUUUUUUAAAGCAUCAACAUAACCUGCCCGUUCAUUAGUUUUGUAGACACUCUGGAAAAAUAUUAAUUUAGGAGAUGCUGAAAUAUUUGCAUGUUGUUCCUGAAAACCC
rnacentral:lncRNA from 1 species